rnacentral:rRNA from 1 species
GCAUGGGUAGCGAACAGGAUUGGAUAACCUGGUAGUCCAUGCCGUAAACGGUGGGCGCUAGGUGUGAGUCCCUUCCACGGGGUUCGUGCCGUAGCUAACGCAUUAAGCGCCCCGCCUGGGGAGUACGGCCGCAAGGCUAAAACUCAAAGGAAUUGACGGGGGCCCGCACAAGCGGCGGAGCAUGUGGAUUAAUUCGAUGCAACGCGAAGAACCUUACCUGGGCUUGACAUACACCGGACCGGGCCAGAGAUGGUCUUUCCCUUGUGGCUGGUGUACAGGUGGUGCAUGGUUGUCGUCAGCUCGUGUCGUGAGAUGUUGGGUUAAGUCCCGCAACGAGCGCAACCCUUGUCUUAUGUUGCCAGCAUUUGGUUGGGGACUCAUGAGAGACUGCCGGGGUUAACUCGGAGGAAGGUGGGGAUGACGUCAAAUCAUCAUGCCCCUUAUGUCCAGGGCUUCACACAUGCUACAAUGGUCGGUACAACGCGCAGCGAUACUGUGAGGUGGAGCUAAUCGCCUAAAGCCGGCCUUAGUUCGGAUUGGGGUCUGCAACUCGACCCCAUGAAGUCGGAGUCGCUAGUAAUCGCAGAUCAGCAACGCUGCGGUGAAUACGUUCCCGGGCUUGCACUCACCGCCUG